AUGGUGCAGUCAUUCAAUAGAACAUAGAAAGAGUUCGAAUUCGAAUUUUUCGAAUUGAUUAUUGUGAUAAUACAUGUGUCACACGUGAUUUUCAUUUUGUGUGCCUGUGUGAGUGUGUAUUUGAUGAUGAAAUCUUGCUUGAAGACUGCAUUUAUUGGAAUGAUUUUUUCUGUUUUUGUUUCCAUGAUCUAUGAUCUACUCAUCGUUUGGUAAGUUAUUUCGGUUAUUUAACCUGAUUACACCUAAAAUACCUGAUAACUUUUUUCAUUUAAAAUAAAGAAAAUGGAGCAUUUACGAUAUUGCAGAAAGCCACAGCGGUUGACGAUUCAAUGUUGAGUGUCUUCAUGCGAUGAACCCAUAAGGUGAUCAUCAAUUACAACAGCAUAUUAUUCAACAUGAAACACGACAACAACAACAGCAACAAAUAAUACAAGCAACAGAAUCCGCUCAAUCAUCACAUCAAGUUCAUCAUCAUCAACAAAAUCUUCAUCAUAACCAUCAUCAUCAUCAUCAUUUGCAAAGAUCGGCAUCCACCGGUUCAGAAGUACAAUUCAGAUCAUUAGUUGAACCAUCUACGGCUUCAGUGCCAUCAAUUUGUAGGCGUGUCCUCUAUUUUGUAACAUUGUUUAUGAAGGGCUUUGAUAAUUCUUUAUUUAAGCUUGUGAAAUAUAAUAAUAAAAGUUAGUUGAUUUUCACCACUGAACGUGUCAAGUUAUUUCUCGUCUCUUGCAUGCUACAAAUUCAAACCCAACAUCAAGCACUCGGACAGAAAAAUCCGAGUUCUAUUUUAUAACUUACAAUGUCCCCUCUACGGGGACAUCCGAGUGCAAAGGGUUAAAUUACAGUGAUAUAUUCAUUGGGCGAUCAUGUUGAUGAUGAAAAUGAUCUUUUUGAAUGUGGCAAAUGUAAACAACAUUUCUCAUAUCUUCAUUCAUUUGUGCAGCAUAAAAAAAUUUGUAAUAGCCGAUUACAGCAGCAACAACAUACGAAAAGCAGUUUAUCAACAAAUAGCGAAAAGCUACGAGAAUUGGCUGAAAUCGAAUUACAUUUUGGCAUUGCUUCGACAUCGACAUCAGCCUCACAGCCACAGUUGGUUCAUCAUACUGGUAGCAAUGUUCAUCAUUCAAUGGGUAAAUCACUUUUAUCAACAUCAUCAAACAAUUCUUCUCCAUUAUUGAUUCCAAGCAACAAUAAUUCGCCUACCUCAAUGAUGACAGCUGUUGCUACUGGUGGUGGAAAUGGCCAGUCAACCAACCAUUUGGUUGGUGAUAUAAAUAUUAUUAAUAGACAUCUAAACCAUGGAAAUCGUGCUUCACCAUUAAUUGAUCCACAUUCGAGCUUCAAUGCUGCGUCUAUUUACAAAUAAACGCGUGCCAUUAAACAAACCACUUUGUGGUUCAAUAUUGCGACUGAACAUGACAAUCGAUCCAAUGUUUAAUCCAAGUUUGUGUAAAUUCACAUUGUUGUAACAACGUGAAUGCUUUUUGCAUAAUAUGUUGAAUGAACUAUGAAUUUAACACCAUGACAUGGUGUCUUUUGUUUGUAUGAAGUGUUGUAUGUUUUAAGUUUGUUUUCUUAUAUUUAUUGUUUAUAUAAAUUCAUUUAUUUUUGUCAUUAAUAAAAAAAAAGUUUGAUUUUAU